AGAGUUUGAUCCUGGCUCAGGACGAACGCUGGCGGCGUGCUUAACACAUGCAAGUCGAACGGAAGGGCCCCUUUGGGGGUGCUCGAGUGGCGAACGGGUGAGUAACACGUGGGUGAUCUGCCCUGCACUUUGGGAUAAGCCUGGGAAACUGGGUCUAAUACCGGAUAGGACCAUUCCAUGCAUGUGGGGUGGUGGAAAGC
rnacentral:rRNA from 1 species